rnacentral:rRNA from 1 species
UACGUAGGGAGCAAGCGUUGUCCGGAAUCAUUGGGCGUAAAGGGCGCGUAGGUGGCCUGCUAAGCGUGCGGUGAAAGUCGGGGGCUCAACCCCCGAUCGGCCGUGCGAACUGGGAGGCUUGAGCACUGUAGAGGCAAGUGGAAUUCCUGGUGUAGCGGUGGAAUGCGCAGAUAUCAGGAGGAACACCUAUAGCGAAGGCAGCUUGCUGGGACGUAACUGACGCUAAGGCGCGAAAGCGUGGGGAGCGAACAGG